GGGUUGUGAGGUUAAGCGACUAAGCGUACACGGUGGAUGCCCUGGCAGUCAGAGGCGAUGAAGGACGUGCUAAUCUGCGAUAAGCGUCGGUAAGGUGAUAUGAACCGUUAUAACCGGCGAUUUCCGAAUGGGGAAACCCAGUGUGAUUCGUCACACUAUCAUUAACUGAAUCCAUAGGUUAAUGAGGCGAACCGGGGGAACUGAAACAUCUAAGUACCCCGAGGAAAAGAAAUCAACCGAGAUUCCCCCAGUAGCGGCGAGCGAACGGGGAGCAGCCCAGAGCCUGAAUCAGUGUGUGUGUUAGUGGAAGCGUCUGGAAAGGCGUGCGAUACAGGGUGACAGCCCCGUACACAAAAAUGCACAUACUGUGAGCUCGAUGAGUAGGGCGGGACACGUGGUAUCCUGUCUGAAUAUGGGGGGACCAUCCUCCAAGGCUAAAUACUCCUGACUGACCGAUAGUGAACCAGUACCGUGAGGGAAAGGCGAAAAGAACCCCGGCGAGGGGAGUGAAAAAGAACCUGAAACCGUGUACGUACAAGCAGUGGGAGCACAGAGCAAUCUGUGUGACUGCGUACCUUUUGUAUAAUGGGUCAGCGACUUAUAUUCUGUAGCAAGGUUAACCGAAUAGGGGAGCCGAAGGGAAACCGAGUCUUAACUGGGCGUUAAGUUGCAGGGUAUAGACCCGAAACCCGGUGAUCUAGCCAUGGGCAGGUUGAAGGUUGGGUAACACUAACUGGAGGACCGAACCGACUAAUGUUGAAAAAUUAGCGGAUGACUUGUGGCUGGGGGUGAAAGGCCAAUCAAACCGGGAGAUAGCUGGUUCUCCCCGAAAGCUAUUUAGGUAGCGCCUCGUGAAUUCAUCUCCGGGGGUAGAGCACUGUUUCGGCAAGGGGGUCAUCCCGACUUACCAACCCGAUGCAAACUGCGAAUACCGGAGAAUGUUAUCACGGGAGACACACGGCGGGUGCUAACGUCCGUCGUGAAGAGGGAAACAACCCAGACCGCCAGCUAAGGUCCCAAAGUCAUGGUUAAGUGGGAAACGAUGUGGGAAGGCCCAGACAGCCAGGAUGUUGGCUUAGAAGCAGCCAUCAUUUAAAGAAAGCGUAAUAGCUCACUGGUCGAGUCGGCCUGCGCGGAAGAUGUAACGGGGCUAAACCAUGCACCGAAGCUGCGGCAGCGACGCUGAUGCGUUGUUGGGUAGGGGAGCGUUCUGUAAGCCUGUGAAGGUGUACUGUGAGGUAUGCUGGAGGUAUCAGAAGUGCGAAUGCUGACAUAAGUAACGAUAAAGCGGGUGAAAAGCCCGCUCGCCGGAAGACCAAGGGUUCCUGUCCAACGUUAAUCGGGGCAGGGUGAGUCGACCCCUAAGGCGAGGCCGAAAGGCGUAGUCGAUGGGAAACAGGUUAAUAUUCCUGUACUUGGUGUUACUGCGAAGGGGGGACGGAGAAGGCUAUGUUGGCCGGGCGACGGUUGUCCCGGUUUAAGCGUGUAGGCUGGUUUUCCAGGCAAAUCCGGAAAAUCAAGGCUGAGGCGUGAUGACGAGGCACUACGGUGCUGAAGCAACAAAUGCCCUGCUUCCAGGAAAAGCCUCUAAGCAUCAGGUAACAUCAAAUCGUACCCCAAACCGACACAGGUGGUCAGGUAGAGAAUACCAAGGCGCUUGAGAGAACUCGGGUGAAGGAACUAGGCAAAAUGGUGCCGUAACUUCGGGAGAAGGCACGCUGAUAUGUAGGUGAAGUCCCUCGCGGAUGGAGCUGAAAUCAGUCGAAGAUACCAGCUGGCUGCAACUGUUUAUUAAAAACACAGCACUGUGCAAACACGAAAGUGGACGUAUACGGUGUGACGCCUGCCCGGUGCCGGAAGGUUAAUUGAUGGGGUCAGCGCAAGCGAAGCUCUUGAUCGAAGCCCCGGUAAACGGCGGCCGUAACUAUAACGGUCCUAAGGUAGCGAAAUUCCUUGUCGGGUAAGUUCCGACCUGCACGAAUGGCGUAAUGAUGGCCAGGCUGUCUCCACCCGAGACUCAGUGAAAUUGAACUCGCUGUGAAGAUGCAGUGUACCCGCGGCAAGACGGAAAGACCCCGUGAACCUUUACUAUAGCUUGACACUGAACAUUGAGCCUUGAUGUGUAGGAUAGGUGGGAGGCUUUGAAGUGUGGACGCCAGUCUGCAUGGAGCCGACCUUGAAAUACCACCCUUUAAUGUUUGAUGUUCUAACGUUGACCCGUGAUCCGGGUUGCGGACAGUGUCUGGUGGGUAGUUUGACUGGGGCGGUCUCCUCCUAAAGAGUAACGGAGGAGCACGAAGGUUGGCUAAUCCUGGUCGGACAUCAGGAGGUUAGUGCAAUGGCAUAAGCCAGCUUGACUGCGAGCGUGACGGCGCGAGCAGGUGCGAAAGCAGGUCAUAGUGAUCCGGUGGUUCUGAAUGGAAGGGCCAUCGCUCAACGGAUAAAAGGUACUCCGGGGAUAACAGGCUGAUACCGCCCAAGAGUUCAUAUCGACGGCGGUGUUUGGCACCUCGAUGUCGGCUCAUCACAUCCUGGGGCUGAAGUAGGUCCCAAGGGUAUGGCUGUUCGCCAUUUAAAGUGGUACGCGAGCUGGGUUUAGAACGUCGUGAGACAGUUCGGUCCCUAUCUGCCGUGGGCGCUGGAGAACUGAGGGGGGCUGCUCCUAGUACGAGAGGACCGGAGUGGACGCAUCACUGGUGUUCGGGUUGUCAUGCCAAUGGCACUGCCCGGUAGCUAAAUGCGGAAGAGAUAAGUGCUGAAAGCAUCUAAGCACGAAACUUGCCCCGAGAUGAGUUCUCCCUGACUCCUUGAGAGUCCUGAAGGAACGUUGAAGACGACGACGUUGAUAGGCCGGGUGUGUAAGCGCAGCGAUGCGUUGAGCUAACCGGUACUAAUGAACCGUGAGGCUUAACCUUACAACGCCGAAGCUGUU
rnacentral:rRNA from 1 species